GGCACUGACACCAGCCAGAAUGACUGCCCAGAGGAAGAACAGCUGGACAGUGAACUCAGCCAGAUUGAGGCCGAGGAAAUUGUUGAGGAAGAACAACUGAGUGAGCAGAAGGAGAAGGAGGAUGAUGAGGAGGAGACAUCCUCUAACUCCAGCCACUGCCAGGAGUCAAUAGAAAAAACUGGCACUGACACCAGCCAGAAUGACUGCCCAGAGGAAGAACAGCUGGACAGUGAACUCAGCCAGAUUGAGGCCGAGGAGAUUGUUGAGGUUUGAGAUUAUUUAAUAUUAAACCAUUUUAACCUAUUUUGGACCAUGCACAAAUCCCUCUAUCAAAUGAAAUGCCACAAACUACUAUUUAGCCCCCCGUUUACCAUAACCAAAAAUCAAAUGAACUAUCACCCUAGAAGAUCAAGAAAAUAGCCAA